rnacentral:lncRNA from 1 species
AUUGCUAUGAGAGUGACUACCCAACAAUGUUGGUGUUAUGGAAGACAUUACAGUCUCAAGGAAUAAUUGGUUGAGAGUCAUGAAAGUAAGGAUGGCAUACUUCAAUGCACAAAUCAAAUUACCUGGAUAAAUGGGAAAUAAUACUCCCAGGGAAAACAGAUUCUUUCUCAAGAGGGAGCAAGUGGAUAACUGCUUUAGAAUACAAAGGAGAGGAGGAUGGACUACAUGUUAAUUGCUGCAACAAGCUAAUUAUGCCAAGUGCUUGUACACAAGCAAAAGUUAUCUGCUAUCCUCUAUCCCUCUUGUGUUCAUCUGUCUUUCCUUAUCUGUGUUCUUUUUUUUUUCCCCUCUCGCCAUUUGGUGGCAUAUUCAUUUUUCAAUCACUUUACCUUGGCAUCACUAACAAACCUUACUCUUUUUAUUUUCUCCCACAUCCAGGCUGUUCAUGCAACACAUUUCAAAAUUUUGUUAUUUCUUCCUGUUCCUGUCUUUAA